rnacentral:rRNA from 1 species
AUUGAACGCUGGCGGCAUGCCUUACACAUGCAAGUCGAACGGUAACAGGUUAAGCUGACGAGUGGCGAACGGGUGAGUAAUAUAUCGGAACGUGCCCAGUAGUGGGGGAUAGCCCGGCGAAAGCCGGAUUAAUACCGCAUUCGACCUACGGGUGAAAGGGGGGGAUCGCAAGACCUCUCGCUAUUGGAGCGGCCGAUAUCAGAUUAGGUAGUUGGUGGGGUAAAGGCCUACCAAGCCUGCGAUCUGUAGUUGGUCUGAGAGGACGACCAGCCACACUGGGACUGAGACACGGCCCAGACUCCUACGGGAGGCAGCAGUGGGGAAUUUUGGACAAUGGGCGCAAGCCUGAUCCAGCAAUGCCGCGUGCAGGAAGAAGGCCUUCGGGUUGUAAACUGCUUUUGUCAGGGAAGAAAUCCUCUGGGUUAAUACCUCGGGGGGAUGACGGUACCUGAAGAAUAAGCACCGGCUAACUACGUGCCAGCAGCCGCCGUAAGAC